UUAAGUCUGUUAAAUAAUUGAAUUUUAAAUCAUUCAAUUAUAUGUGAAAUGCAUGUCAACUUUAGUAGAAAUAUCAAAUCACAUAUUGACGCUCGCAUAGGAACCGAUAUGCCACAUGCCUUUUUGUGCCAUUAAGUGAUAAUUUGAAAUGUGACACAAGCAAGUUCAUAAUUUUAAAAGGAACUAGGUGUGGUUCACACUUUCAAGGAUAUAUCAUGUUUCUGUAAUGCAUAUAGUAAUAAUGGACAAAUAGCACCAACAUGUAUUGCCUCAUAGAUAUAUUCAAUCAUACUUUGUAUAAUAGUCAUGUUUGGAUGCCGGUCCAAUAAUAGGCUAGUUGUUUAGUCAUCUCGUCCUAUUUCCGUUGGUUGUGGCAUUUUAUCUUUUUUAUUUGCUUUCAUUUCCGCCCUGAGCGAGCACGUACUAGACCACAUAUAUUUUUGGAUAUUUUGCUUAAUAAUAUGGAUGCAUGCCUCACGUUGAUGCACAGGCCGAGGGCUAUUGUCCUUUUCCAUUUUUUUUUAUUUUGUAUAAGAGAUAGAAUAAUAAACAUGAACACGAUGAAGGCCUAGUCCGUGCAUGUGAGCGAGCUACUUUACUAGUUUUAAGGAUAGCCACACAAGAACAAGAGAAUCCAUAUGAGAAAUUACCUUCCAUCUAUGCUUCCACAUUUAAUAGCCUUUAGGAUAACCUUGUGCCCAAUCAACUGCUAUAAAAGGCGGCUUUGUGGCAAACAUAAUGGAAUAAAGUGAGGGAGGACGGAAGGAAUAAAGUGAGACCGAAGUUCAUCAACCUGUUCUAAACAUUGUUUUGGACUGGACUACCAAUUUUUCCUAAGUCGCGAUCCUGAGAGGUAUUGGGAACUUAGGGAUCACUUGAUGCCUUUGCUAGAGAUUCGCUAUGAAUAAAUUAGUGGUGAAAUGAAGUAGUCUCAAGCUAUAACCUCUACUAAGCAUUUGGAAUUCUGAAUAAUCUUUUGAGUGGUUUGCAGCAACAUGUGGAGAAUAAGGCUAGUUUUCAUAGAAUAAGCCAUUCUGAUUUCACGGUGCUCACCAUUACUCAAGAAAUGGCCAUGAUGAAGCAGUUUCUCACAACACAGCACAUGUUUGUAGUGUAGGGAGUCUAAUGUGAGAGUGAAGUCAAAACCUUCCAUGUUAAUUUACAGGGCACUCUAAAACCAUUAUAAACGGCGUGUUUUAGCAUUUUAGAAAAAUUGGUAGAUCUGAACUAGUUAGUGCCAAAACCAGCCUACUUUACGUGAGCUUGGGCCUUGUGCAGACAGUUUGGUAAUAGUAAAUAUUUGACAAAUGGAAAACAUUUGCAUGCUCGCUUAUGCUUCGUGUCAUUCCGCGUUGUGAUUCGUGUGAUGUUUCGUCCUUUAUUCUUUAUUCAGAGGUCAUGCUCGCUUAUGCUUCCCUCUCUCCUCUCAUGUCAAAAUGCAUACAAAACAGUUUUGUAU
rnacentral:lncRNA from 1 species